GCGCGCGCGCUGAACUGGAGCGGAGGACGUCACCAUGGAAACGAGGCGGCAGCCCAACCGUCAAGCAGCUGAACGCUGACUCUCAAUGUGGUUUUCACUAUUGUUUUUUAGUAUGCUUAUGUUCCUAGGUUCUUCCAUGCUGAUGGCUGUGCUCUAGAGUCAUAUCUCCUGUCGAAGAACAUUUUUAGACAUUAUGAACCAUGAAAAAGUUUAGCUCCAACCCCAGUUAAGCAGAUCGGGGCAGCUGAUCAAGGAUCACCAGAAACUCUGCAGAACAUUGGUCCUCCAGCCCAGGACUGGACACCAGUGUUAGUGUCUGUCUCAGAAGCUGAAGAAAAGAGGCCACACCUCAGAGGAAAUAAGCGCCCCCUAAGUGUACAGAAAUACCUGGCUGAGAAGAUCAGUGACAAACCAGAUAAAACUGUCAGUGGUCUAAGACAGCUACAAUGAAGCCACAAAUGCAGUUCAUAGUUCCUGUAUUUCUAUAAUGCAUUAAGGAAUAACAGUAAUUAAAAAAAAAAAAUGUAAUGUCAAGGUUUUGUGUUAAUUCCAGCUAUGUUGAGUAUUCUGUGAAUAAUUUAGAUUUUAGGUGCAUAUUCUUAAUUCUUUGCAAAACAACCUGAACUGUUUGCUAUUGAAAGGUUGGUAUGUAGUUUAAAUAAAUAAAAAUGAUAUUCUUGAC